UUCACUCUCUCUCUCUCUUCAGCUCUCCCUCUCUGUUUGCGUCGCCAGCAGUUGCGCCGCCGCCACAUCACCGCCACCUCCGGUACUCCACUCACCACCAAAAUUUUCAGAUUUUCUCCUCAUUAUUCCCUCUAUCCAUUUCUCAAACCAAAAUUGUUAGAUUUAGCCAUUCAAUCAUCCAAAAACCCUAGAACCCGAAAUCAAUUUGGGGGGUUUUUGUGAUUUCUUCAUUCUAAGUUCAAAUCAAGGUGAAGAAGACUAAGGAGGAGGAGAGGCCAUGAGUUUUUGGAGAACAAAGGGUUCUGUACCUUUUUUUUGACGUAGAUUCUGGAUAUCUUCCUGGAAGUUUUAAUAGGCUUAUUGCAUAUCACCGGAAAGCUACGCGAGUCUAGUUUCCAACGGAAAAAGCAGAUCAACAUUCGAAGCUGUGAGCUAAGAGAUAUUUGAGAAAUACCGAACAGUACUCAAUUUGCGCGGAAAUUUUUCCUGAUGACUUCUGCGAUCUUUUUGACUUCAACAUCGGUUUCAUGCUAUUCUUCAAUAAAUCUCAGGGAGCUCUAAACUCUUCUCUUUACUUUCUUGGUCUUUUUUUUCACUUAUUUUCUUUCCAUGCUUUUAUGUGCAUUGCAUGCUUUAAUUCUUUCAACAUUGAGGACAAUGUUAGAUUUAAGUGUGGAGAAAGGGAUUUCAAUUUUUUUUUUAUUAUUAGGUUGUUAGUAUAAACAAAAACAAAAUAAAAAAAUUAGAAAAACUGAAAUUGAGAAAAAUUGUGUUUUCUUUGUUAUUUGUGUGUCAUUAUUUUUGUUUUUUUUCUUAAGUCUUAAGAUGCCUUUCAACAAAAUUCUCAAAAAGAAAAAAAGAUGCCUUUCAACAACUAUGAUGAGUAUUUAUUUCAGAAAUUAUAGCUUAAGAGGAUCAUAAAAUUGAGAUGAUGUUUGACUUUAUUCUUUGGUUAAUAAGAAUGUAUGAUUGUCAUAUGUAUGUGUAGUGGAUGUGGCUUUGCUUACAUGGUACAGAAAAGAGCAUGUUAGGAUAAGUUUUUGAUUCAUACAUAACGUAUAUGAGAUAUUUGAGCUUAUUUGCUUUUCUUUGUCGAGUGUUAAAUGAAAAAAAUAUAUGUCAUCUUAUCGACGAUUCGUGCGCUUGCGAGUACAAUCAAGAGAAAGAAGAUAUUGUUUUUUUAGAUUUUCAAAUAAAGAUAUAAUGUGAAAAUUAAGGAAAGAAAAAUGUAAGUUGAUAAGUAGAAAAGCAAAGACGAUAAAAACCUAGGGUUUCGGAAUAAACCACUAACAAUCUUAUUUAUGUUUCAAUGCAAUUAACAGAUUCUUUUGUUUCAUUAGAUGAUAAUUCCCGUAUCUAAGUCCUUCUCAGGUACGGCACUUAGACCAUAGUUUUCCUUAAGUGUAUGAUUCUCUCCUGGUACGGCAGAUGUCGUAUAUCCUAACUAUACAGUUUAUCCCUCUCAGGUAUAAAUUUAACAUGCAAGACUCAUUACGCUUUAGAAAACAAGGGAAUCAAGCAAACCAUUAGUCUUUCUCAAGUAAUAAUGUAAUUUACCACACUUAAUCACAAGAAGCUAAUCA